AUAUAUAUAUAUAUAUAUAUAUAUAUAAAACUCUUCAUCAACCCUUACCUAUAUUAUCUCAUUCUUUUCCUUUUAUCAUUUCUCCUACUUUGUUUUAUCAAUAUCUACGCAUACCUUUCUUUGGUUUCUUAAGAGAGCUUUGUUCAAAGAUGAGUUCAAGUGAGCCUGCAGUUGCAUAUCCUCCACCUUCAACCGCGCCAACUUAUUAUGUAGCUCCACCACCGGCUGGUUAUCCUACAAAAGAUGACUCCGGAUACUCUCAAAAUCCUCCUCCUCCGGUGGAAACCAAGUCUAGGGGUGAUGGAUUUUGGAAGGGAUGUUGUGCUGCCUUGUGUUGCUGCUGUGUGCUGGAUGCAUGCUUCUGAGGGUUGAGAGCGUUCUAGAGGCCUGAGGCCAUUGUUCUUUUAUUUGAUCUCACCUCAAUUUUUUUGUCAAUAAAAUAUUUAUACAGAGUUUGUAUUCUUAUGAUGUGAGGAAUGGACCAUUGGAUAUUUGUCCAGUUCUUUAUCUUGACAUAGUUAUCGUUACAUUGUUAUUAUCGCAUUGUUUUUGUUUUAAUUAGUGCCAUAGUGUUUGAUUUGCUGUCCUUGUAUUGUUGUUGUAAUUAAUAUUAUUAUACAAUUGAUUUA